UGAUUCGGCCCAAACCAAUAACAUACAAAACUCGACCUCUAACCCACGGACCUGUUUGCUAAACCUCAAGCUCGUUCGCUCUCCCUGUAAAUUCUAAACCCUACUUGGACCAGAGAGAACCACCUGGAAAACAGUUUUGAAGCUACCAUGGGAGCUGAAAUUGAGGACAAUGGAGCAAUACAGAUACCGCCAACCCGAGUUGGGCACAUAAAGAAACGAGCUCUUAAGAACAAAGCUGUAUCUGUCUCUUUCAAAGAGAAAGAUCUCAGGGAUUAUGUUACCGGGUUUCAUAAGAGGAAGAAGAAGAGAAGGAAGGAAGCAAUUAAACAACAAGAGGAGAAGUUAAGGCUCAAGCGAAUCGCGUCGCGCAAACAGAGGAAACUGGAAAAAGAAUUUGCUUCACAUGGAGGAGCUCCACCAGCCACUAAUGAAAGUGACGAGUAUGAAGACAAUCAUGAACAAAGUGAGCCAAUUGCAUCAGUAAACGGGACAACAAAGUACGACAAUGGGGACAUGCAAGUCACUGUGACAACUAGUGAAAUUUCACGUGAAGAUAAAGAUGGCUCAAGUGAAAAGACACAAGCAGAAGUGCCAAGGUUGGUCGAAGCUGAUAAAACGCACAAGUUAUCCGUGAGCAAAAAGAAAUCAUUCAAGAAAGUUUCAAAACGCAAAUCACGGACAAAGCCACAAAAAAAAAGGGAUAGAAAGAAGGGAAAGGCGAAGAACAAGCUGUAGUUUACAGUUGAUCUUCUUGCCAUACGAAGCAUGGGGGGAUCAAACUGUGUUUUCUGCUGUUGGAAUACAUAGUUUAACAAAGGCUAAUUGCUGAGACAUUUAUGCCAGGCCAUGUAGAAAAUUGUUUUUGGGUGGCAGGUUCUAUCAGGGAAUCCUUCCUCUUUGCCCUCGGUUUUUACUCAAAAGUUUAAUGGCCAACGAUAACGAUGGUACGGGCAGCACAUCUGUUCUUGUGUAA